rnacentral:rRNA from 1 species
UACGUAGGGUGCGAGCGUUGUCCGGAAUUAUUGGGCGUAAAGGGCUCGUAGGCGGUUUGUCGCGUCGGGAGUGAAAACCCAGGGCUUAACCCUGGGCUGGCUUUCGAUACGGGCAGACUAGAGGUAUGCAGGGGAGAACGGAAUUCCUGGUGUAGCGGUGAAAUGCGCAGAUAUCAGGAGGAACACCGAUGGCGAAGGCAGGUCUCUGGGCCACUACUGACGCUGAGAAGCGAAAGCAUGGGGAGCGAACAGG